rnacentral:rRNA from 1 species
CCUACGGGAGGCAGCAGUGGGGGAUAUUGCACAAUGGGGGGAACCCUGAUGCAGCGACGCCGCGUGGGUGAAGGAGCGUUUCGGCGCGUAAAGCCCUAUCGGCAGGGAAGAAGAAGGACGGUACCUGACUAAGAAGCCCCGGCUAACUAGGGGCCAGCAGCCGCUGUAAUACGUAGGGGGCAAGGGUUACCCGGUUGUACUGGGUGGAAAGGGGGCGCAGACGGGAGCACAAGCCAGGAGUGAAUGCCCGGGGCCCAACCCCGGGACUGCUUUUGAAACUGGGAGGCUGGAGUGCAGGAGGGGCAGGCGGAAUUCCUGGUGUAGCGGUGAAAUGCGUAGAUAUCAGGAGGAACACCAGUGGCGAAGGCGGCCUGCUGGACUGCGACUGACGUUGAGGCCCGAAAGCGUGGGGAGCAAACAGGAUUAGAUACCCCUGUAGUC